GUGUGCAUGAUAUAGCCUGGUGGUUAUUACAGGCUUCAAACUUGUAGACGGCUAACGCCGUAGUUGUUCGAUUCAACCUUGCGCACG
rnacentral:tRNA from 1 species